CCAGACUCCUACGGGAGGCAGCAGUGGGGAAUAUUGCACAAUGGGGGAAACCCUGAUGCAGCGACGCCGCGUGAGUGAAGAAGUAUUUCGGUAUGUAAAGCUCUAUCAGCAGGGAAGAAAAUGACGGUACCUGAUUAAGAAGCCCCGGCUAACUACGUGCCAGCAGCCGCGGUAAUACGUAGGGGGCAAGCGUUAUCCGGAUUUACUGGGUGUAAAGGGAGCGUAGACGGUGAUGCAAGUCAGAAGUGAAAGCCCGGGGCUCAACUCCGGGACUGCUUUUGAAACUGUGUGACUGGAGUGAAGGAGAGGGAAGCGGAAUUCCUGGUGUAGCGGUGAAAUGCGUAGAUAUCAGGAGGAACACCAGUGGCGAAGGCGGCUUACUGGACUGUAACUGACGUUGAGGCUCGAAAGCGUGGGGAGCAAACAGGAUUAGAUACCCUAGUACAG
rnacentral:rRNA from 1 species